AUAAUUACAUCGCGUAGGGGAAACCGUGAUCUCGAAGGCGGCACCCCCGGAGUGAGACUCGAUCAUUGCACAUACGAUGGAGUUGACCUUUGCGAUUAUUCCUAAUGUGAAUUAAUCCUGCGCAAAAUUUUUGUCUUAUAGCCAGGAAUGGUGAAUGUGCCAUCCUGAC